rnacentral:rRNA from 1 species
GCCGCGGUAAGACGUAGGAUCCGAGCGUUGUCCGGAGUUACUGGGCGUAAAGCGCGCGCAGGCGGUCCUUUAAGUCUGAUGUGAAAGCCCACGGCUCAACCGUGGAGGGUCAUUGGAAACUGGGGGACUUGAGUACAGAAGAGGAAAGCGGAAUUCCAAGUGUAGCGGUGAAAUGCGUAGAGAUUUGGAGGAACACCAGUGGCGAAGGCGGCUUUCUGGUCUGUAACUGACGCUGAGGCGCGAAAGCGUGGGGAGCAAACAG